GGUUACGGUUACGUGCCAGCAGCCGCGGCGGUAAUACCAGCACCCCGAGUGGUCGGGACGAUUAUUGGGCCUAAAGCAUCCGUAGCUUGUCCUGCAAGUCCUCCGUUAAAUCCACCUGCUCAACAGAUGGGCUGCGGGGGAUACUACAGGGCUAGGAGGCGGGAGAGGCAAACGGUACUCAGUGGGUAGGGGUAAAAUCCUCUGAUCCACUGAAGACCACCAGUGGCGAAGGCGGUUUGCCAGAACGCGCUCGACGGUGAGGGAUGAAAGCUGGGGGAGCAAACCGGAUUAGAUACCCGGGUAGUCCCAGCUGUAAACGAUGCAGACUCGGUGAUGGGUUGGCUUCGCGCCAACCCAGUGCCGCAGGGAAGCCGUUAAGUCUGCCGCCUGGGGAGUACGGUCGCAAGACUG
rnacentral:rRNA from 1 species